UACGUAGGGUGCAAGCGUUAAUCGGAAUUACUGGGCGUAAAGCGUGCGCAGGCGGUUUUGUAAGUCUGUCGUGAAAUCCCCGGGCUCAACCUGGGAAUUGCGAUGGAGACUGCAAGGCUAGAAUCUGGCAGAGGGGGGGUAGAAUUCCACGUGUAGCAGUUGAAAUGCGUAGAGAUGUGGAGGAACACCGAUGGCGAAGGCAGCCCCCUGGGCCUGCACUGACGCUCAUGCACGAAAGCGUGGGGAGCAAACAGG
rnacentral:rRNA from 1 species